CAAUUAUUUGAUUUUCCUCAUCAUAUUUUCAUAUAAAUUUCAUAUAUUUUAUAUAUGUAGUUCAAAAAUCAAAGACAGUCGUACAACUUUAUGCCUCACACUAUACCCUAGAAUAAUCUGGGGAAUUGAUAUAAAAACCUUGUCUCUGGGUUUGUAUUCUGUCUUCUCAUAAUGAAACUGAAAUUGUGGCACCAUGAAAGCUCUAUGCACUGAAGAGAAAAGACAAUUUAGAUGGACAACGUCUUUGCGGAGACUUGUGGCAACACCUACAAGAGAAACCAAUGAAGCUCCACCAGCAAGUGCACUGUCAGUCCCGAAAGAGUCUCGGCCACUUGCGCAAGGAUGGCUUCGAAGUUAAGCAUCUGCCUGCUCUCCUUACUCCAGGUUUUGUUGCAGUCUCCACAUUUCACUGCUCUGUAUUUUGCCUUAUGCUAUAGAAUAAGCAUAAGAACCUGCUCCUCGAGAGUCAAUAGUAAAACUAAGGCAACAAGAAAGCAGAGCAGUUAAGAGAAGGGACCAUGGCUCUUAACCCUUCUCCAGCCUCUACAGAUUCAUCUCCGUGCUUUGAACUUGUGGGGAAAUUAGUCCUUUUGGAACCAUAAAGAUCGAGAUACCAAGUUAAUGGCCACUCGUGAAGCUACUACUCCAGAAGAACAUCAAAGAAUUCAAUGAUGCAGACCAAUUUAUGGAAAUCAAAGGCAUUUCUCCAUCCAACUUCCAUGCUAUAACUUGCUAGCUUCUGCUAUGACCUUAAAUUACAGUGACUUCAAGGAGUCCUGUAGAGCUGCUUUCUGGACAACAGAAAGGAAAACAAACCUGUAGACCCACAUUGUGCUUAAGAAAUUGUUCUGUGCUCCAGAGUUAUGGCAUAUACUAUGUCAUUCUUUCUAUAACUUUAACAUUUUCCUAUCACAGACAAAAUACUGGCUUCAGACAACUUCUGCUUCAGCACCUGCCACAAACUUCCGCAAAGGUAAAGAGAAGAGAAUCAAAUCUCAUUAUAUGCUGGAGAUGCAGGACAAGUAAACACAGCAAACAUGUCGAGCAGAUCAAGUCUCACACAGCUACAACACAGAAGCUGAUGCCAUGUCUGUGCCACUGAGCUAGGAGAUUAACUCCAACUUCUAAUGCAGUGUAUCUGAAACUGGAUUCAGAUUUGAACACCUCUUCAAGAGGUAGUCACUGAUCCUUGAGGUGAGUGGGACCCUGAUCCUCCCCAGUGUCCAAGUUUCACAGCAGAAUAACCUUGAAGACCUUUUCUU
rnacentral:lncRNA from 1 species